rnacentral:rRNA from 1 species
CACGUAGGGGGGCUAGCGUUGUCCGGAAUCAUUGGGCGUAAAGCGCGUGUAGGCGGUUCGGUAAGUCCGCUGUGAAAGUCGGGGGCUCAACCCUCGAAUGCCGGUGGAUACUGUCGGGCUAGAGUGCGGAAGAGGCGAGUGGAAUUCCUGGUGUAGCGGUGAAAUGCGCAGAUAUCAGGAGGAACACCUAUUGCGAAGGCAGCUCGCUGGGACGUUACUGACGCUGAGACGCGAAAGCGUGGGGAGCAAACAGG